rnacentral:rRNA from 1 species
UCAGGACGAACGCUGGCGGCGUGCCUAAUACAUGCAAGUCGAACGGUCUUUCUAUGGAAGCUUGCUUCCACUGAGAAGAUAGUGGCGAACGGGUGAGUAACACGUGGGUAACCUGCCCAUAAGAGGGGGAUAACAUCCGGAAACGGGUGCUAAUACCGCAUAGUUUUCUUGAUCGCAUGAUUGAGAAAGGAAAGACGGCCUUUGUGCUGUCGCUUAUGGAUGGACCCGCGGCGUAUUAGUUAGUUGGUGAGGUAACGGCUCACCAAGACGACGAUACGUAGCCGACCUGAGAGGGUGAUCGGCCACAUUGGGACUGAGACACGGCCCAAACUCCUACGGGAGGCAGCAGUAGGGAAUCUUCCGCAAUGGACGAAAGUCUGACGGAGCAACGCCGCGUGAGUGAAGAAAGGUUUUCGGAUCGUAAAACUCUGUUGUCAGAGAAGAACAAGUUGGAGAGUAACUGCUCCAGCCUUGACGGUAUCUGACCAGAAAGCCACGGCUAACUACGUGCCAGCCGCGGC